AGAACUAUAGUUUAUUAAAACAUUAAGUUGCAAACUUAAAAAUGCCUUUGGUUAGUUUUU
rnacentral:tRNA from 1 species